rnacentral:lncRNA from 1 species
CAAUCAUGCCCCCCUUGUAUAAAAGUAAUAAUUUUAAAAAGGGGGAGACUAUCAUUUUGGGAUUACUUCCCUUGGUACAGUAUCUAUUAAUAUUUUCAAAUAUAUUGGUAUUCAAAUUUUGAUAAAAUAAAACAUAAUAAAAACAUUUUAAAUAUGUAUAAAUAUAAGGGUUAAAUGUAUGUAUAUACACUUUUCUUUAUAUCUUUUUUAUAUCUUCAAUCAAAAUUGUUAUUACAACCACAGAUAUAAUUUCAAUAUAGUGUAGAAUAGUUUUUUGUAUGUACAUAUUUGUGUGUGUGUGUGUGUGUGUGGUUUUAAGUUAAAACAUUUGUUUAGGGUUACAUUUAUAAAGAUUAGAUGUGGUAUGAUUGCUAAUGAGGGAGCUAUCCACCAAGUGAAAGGAUCCGACAUGUAACUAUUGAUCAACAUAUUGUACUGUCUUGAACACUGAGCAAAUUACAAUUUCAAUGUAUAGAACAUCCUUUAAUGUUUUUAAUUUGAUUAUUAAUUUCAAAUAUUUAAGUAGAAAACAACUGGAUUUUUUUUUAUUAUUUUACCAAAUAUUUUCACACGGGUUUAAAUAAUAUUGAUACAAUUGAAC